AAUCGCAAGGAGAAGUCUGACGGAGCACGCCGCGUGAGUGAUGAAGGUUUUCGGAUCGUAAAGCUCUGUUGUUAGGGAAGAACAAGUGCAAGAGUAACUGCUUGCACCUUGACGGUACCUAACCAGAAAGCCACGGCUAACUACGUGCCAGCAGCCGCGGUAAUACGUAGGUGGCAAGCGUUGUCCGGAAUUAUUGGGCGUAAAGGGCUCGCAGGCGGUUUCUUAAGUCUGAUGUGAAAGCCCCCGGCUCAACCGGGGAGGGUCAUUGGAAACUGGGAAACUUGAGUGCAGAAGAGGAGAGUGGAAUUCCACGUGUAGCGGUGAAAUGCGUAGAGAUGUGGAGGAACACCAGUGGCGAAGGCGACUCUCUGGUCUGUAACUGACGCUGAGGAGCGAAAGCGUGGGGAGCGAACAGGAUUAGAUACCCUGGUAGUCCACGCCGUAAACGAUGAGUGCUAAGUGUUAGGGGGUUUCCGCCCCUUAGUGCUGCAGCUAACGCAUUAAGCACUCCGCCUGGGGAGUACGGUCGCAAGACUGAAACUCAAAGGAAUUGACGGGGGCCCGCACAAGCGGUGGAGCAUGUGGUUUAAUUCGAAGCAACGCGAAGAACCUUACCAGGUCUUGACAUCCUCUGACAACCCUAGAGAUAGGGCUUUCCCUUCGGGGACAGAGUGACAGGUGGUGCAUGGUUGUCGUCAGCUCGUGUCGUGAGAUGUUGGGUUAAGUCCCGCAACGAGCGCAACCCUUGAUCUUAGUUGCCAGCAUUUAGUUGGGCACUCUAAAGGUGACUGCCGGUGACAAACCGGAGGAAGGUGGGGGAUGACGUCAAAUCAUCAUGCCCCUUAUGACCUGGGCUACACACGUGCUAC
rnacentral:rRNA from 1 species